UACGAAGGGGGCUAGCGUUGUUCGGAAUUACUGGGCGUAAAGCGCACGUAGGCGGAUUGAUCAGUUAGAGGUGAAAUCCCAGGGCUCAACCCUGGAACUGCCUUUAAUACUGUCAGUCUAGAGAUCGAGAGAGGUGAGUGGAAUUCCGAGUGUAGAGGUGAAAUUCGUAGAUAUUUGGAGGAACACCAGUGGCGAAGGCGGCUCACUGGCUCGAUACUGACGCUGAGGUACGAAAGUGUGGGGAGCAAACAGG
rnacentral:misc_RNA from 1 species